UCUCAAUCUACCUCAACGUCGGUAGCGCGUAGGUCUCAUAAUCCUAAGGUCGUGAGUUCGAUCCUCACAGAC